rnacentral:sRNA from 1 species
AACAAAAUAAAACGUAGGUCAAGCCAUGAGCAUCAUGACCCUGAACUCGUCAAAGGAGAGCACGCCGUCGCCGUUGAGGUCGAACCUGCAGAUCAUGGCCCUGCACUCCUCCAUCUCCAGCCGCUGAUGCUCUGACCCCAGCCGCCUCAGCAUCCGCCGCAGGCUCGCCGGCGUGAUCACCGCCGUCUCCUCCUCCUCCGCGUACAUGUCGAACGCCUCCCUCAGGCACCUUAGGCUCUCCUCCGCUGGCUCCUGCAACUGAUGAGCAGCAGAGAGCCUCAUGAACUCGUGGUGGUCCAGCAAGCCGUCGCCGUCGGUGUCGGCCGUUGCGAGGAUCGCCGCCGCCUCCUCCUCGGAAACCUCCUCCCCGAGCGCCGCCGCCAUGCAGCCCCGCAGCUCGGACGCGGACACCUUGCCGUCGCCGUCCUUGUCGAAGGCCGCGAACACCGACGAAGCUGACGAUGCCAUGGCACUGUCAGUGAUUAUAUGAUAUCUAAUCUAAGGAGAGGAUUAAUCUCGGUUGCUCCUGGAUCGACAAUAUAAUCAGAGUUCGCAAGUAUAUACGUAUAUAUGUAGUGAGUCUAAUUUGCGACUUGUCUCUGCUGCAACUUACUAUCGAAAUCAUCGGUCGAUCUGAUGAUAGCUAUAUACUCCUAUAUAUAAGAUGAUAGAGAUGAUCCAGCAGGCAAUACUUACUAAGGUAAGAGGACAGAAGGUUCAGCGUUAGUUAAUUCCCAUAUAUUUCGAUGCAUGGAGUUCACGCCUAUAGCAGUGGACCGACCGAUCCAUAUGAUGCAAAGAAACGUUUCCGCGUCAUUCAACAAUUUAGUUUUUCUAGAACAUGCAUGCAUUGUGUUGCUCGUGUGUUUAAAUUUUCUUCUCGAUCUAUAUAUGUUAUUAUUAAUUAUUC